AACGGGGGGGGCAGGUGUUACUCUUAUGGACUGGGCGUAAAGGGCAAGUAGGCGGGUAAAAAAGUUUGGAACAAAAGGCCGAGGCUUAACUUCGGUAAAGGUUCUUUUCAAUACUAUUUACCUUGAGUUGUUUAAAGAGUAGCCGAACUUCCAGUGUAGGGGUUAAAUCCGGAAAUAUUUGGAAGGACGAUCAAAAGCGAAGGCAGCUACUACGUAUCAUACUGACGCUGAGAGGCGAAAGCGUGGGGAGCGAACAGG
rnacentral:rRNA from 1 species